UACGUAGGGGGCAAGCGUUGUCCGGAUUUAUUGGGCGUAAAGAGCGUGUAGGCGGCCAGAUAGGUCCGUUGUGAAAACUCGAGGCUCAACCUCGAGACGCCGAUGGAAACCAUUUGGCUAGAGUCCGGAAGAGGAGAGUGGAAUUCCUGGUGUAGCGGUGAAAUGCGCAGAUAUCAGGAAGAACACCCGUGGCUAAGGCGGCUCUCUGGACGGUGACUGACGCUGAGACGCGAAAGCGUGGGGAGCAAACAGG
rnacentral:rRNA from 1 species